UACGUAGGGGGCAAGCGUUGUCCGGAAUCAUUGGGCGUAAAGCGCGCGCAGGCGGUCCUUUAAGGCUGAUGUGAAAGCCCACGGCUCAACCGUGGAGGGUCAUUGGAAACUGGUGGACUUGAGUGCAGGAGAGAAGAGUGGAAUUCCACGUGUAGCGGUGAAAUGCGUAGAUAUGUGGAGGAACACCAGUGGCGAAGGCGACUCUUUGGCCUGGAACUGACGCUGAGGCGCGAAAGCGUGGGGAGCAAACAGG
rnacentral:rRNA from 1 species